rnacentral:lncRNA from 1 species
CCCAGAAGAAUCAUGGAAGCACAAAGAAGAAAUAAGUGAAGCGAAGCCAGGGGGUUGGUUCCUCAGGAAAUGGAAGGCCACCAGAGGAAAGCACCCAAGACACGAUGGAGGAGGAAGAAGAAAUACCAAACCUAAGUCAGUGGUGGCACCAACAGCAGCCCCUACGGAAGAACAUGUAAACUCAUCGUGCAUGUUGAUGCAGGCACGGCAACCAUUGGAGGACAAAUAAUCUAUCUGACCGGAAUGGUCGACAAAAGGACACUUGAGAAAUAUGAACGAGAAGCUAAAGAAAAAGACAGAAAAACUUGGUACUUGUCUUGGGCCUUAGAUGCAAAUCAGGAAGAAUAAGACAAGGGCAAAAUAGUAGAGGUGGGUCGUGCCUAAUUUGAAACGGAAAAGAAGCAUUUUAUAAUUCUACAUGCUUCUGGCCUUAAGAGUUUUGUCCCAAAUAUGAUUGGUUGGCGCCUCUCAAACUGAAGUGGCUGUGCUGGUAAUCUCAGCCAGGAAAGGAGAGUUUGAAACUGGAUUUGAACAAGGAGGACAGACAAGAGAACAUGCAAUGUUGGCAAAGACAGCAGGUGUCAGACACUUAAUUGUGCUUAUUAAUAAGAUGCAUGAUCCAACGAUAAACUGGAGCAAUAAGAGAUAUGAAGAAUGUAAAGAGAAACUAGUACCAUUUUUGAAACAAGUUGGCUUCAAUCCCAAAAAAGACAUUCACUUUAUGCCCUGCUCAGGACUGAUGGGAGCAAUUCUUAAAGAGCAAUCAGAUUUCUGUCCUUGGUACAUUGGCUUACCAUUUAUUCCAUACCUGGAUCAUUUGCCAAACUUCAAUAGAUCAGUUGAUGGACCAAUCAUACUGCCAGUUGUCGAUAAGUACAAGGAUAUCGGGACUGUGGUUCUGGGAAAGCUGGAAUCUGGACCUAUUUGAAAAGGCCAGCAGCUUGUGAUGACGCCAGAUAAGCACAGUGUGGAAGUUCUUGGAGUACUUUCUGAUGAUGUAGAAACGGGGCUCUGUAGCUCCAGGUGAAAACUCACAACCAGACUGAAAGGAACCAGGAGUCAUUCUUUGUGAUCUUAAUAAUCUUUGUUAUUUUGGAUACACAUUUGAUGCCCAGAGAGUGAUUAUAGAGCACAGAUCCAUCAUCUACCCAGGGUAUAUAUAGUGCAGUGCUGCAUAGUCAUACCUGUAUGGAGGAAGUGGCAGUAACAGCCUUAAUCUGCUUGGUAGACAAAAAAAACAGGAGAGAAAAAAGUAAGACUCAACCUGUUUUGUAAAACAAGAUCAAGUACGCAUUGCUCAUUUAAGGACAGCAGGAACCAUCUGCCUGGAGACCUUUAAGGACUUCCCCUAGAGAUGAGAGUAAGACCACUGCAGUUGGAAACGUUCUGAAACUGGUUCCAGAGAAAGACUAAGCAUUUCCUUGAUGACCUUGCACAAUUUUCCUGUGAGGAAAAUUGACUGCAAAAGCCUACUUCACACCGCCAUCUCUUACUUCCUGCCCAUUGACAAACCUCUCCCCAUACUUUGCAAAGACAAUUCACUGUAAAAGUCCACAUUAUGUCAGCUUUCUCAUAUUGAGAGCUCUGCCAUGCCACUGUUGAAUUUUCCCAAGAUUUUGCCCCCCUUUCAAACUUCACUUCCUUGGGCAGAUUUGGCAAUAGCUUUGUAAGUGAUGUGGACAUAAUUGCUUACAACAAUGAAAACCUUCAGGAUUUUUUUUUUUAAUUUUUCAUUUUCCUCUUAGGCAUAGUUAGUAUUGUUCCCCCAGGGAGAUCAUUCUUAGUGUGUGAGUAUGUGUGCACAUGUUAAAAAGGCCAUGUUAAUAAAAUACUCAAUUUAGCCCCCCCUCCUCGCCACCCCAAAAUAGUCAGAUGUGACCAGCAUGCACUGUAGAAAUUGAGCUACUUCCUCUUCCAGCAGUCUGUGGAAGAGCUUGUUUCUUCUUCCUGGGUAAUAUUAGUCUGUACUGGUUAGGUACUAUUGUUAGCUUGACCCAACCUAGAGUCACAUGAGAUGAUGAAACUUCAAGGAAUUGGCUAGAUCAUACUGGUUUGUGGCCAUAUCUGGGACAGACUGUCUUGACUGAUGUUGAUGUGGGGUGGCCUAGCCCACUGUGGGUGGCACCAUCCCUAUGCAGGUGGCCCUGGGUUGUAUAAGAAAGCUGGAGCAUGAGCCAAAGAGCAAGGCAGCAAGCAGGCCUGACCUCCCUCAAUGAUGGACUGUGACCUGGAAGCAUAAGCCAGUUAAACCCUCCCUUGAGCUGCUUUUGGGAAGAGUGGUUUUUUGGUUUUGGUUUUGGUUUUUUUCGAGACAGGGUUUUUCUGUUGUAGCCCUGGCUGUCCUGGAACUCACUCUGUAGACCAGGCUGGCCUCGAACUCAGAUUCAGAUCACCUGCUUCACCCUCUGAGUGCUGGGAUUAAAGGUGUGGGCCACCAUCACCUGACUGUCAGAUUUUUUUUUUUGUUUGUUUGUUUAAUCACAGCAAUAGAAAAGAAAAUUAGAGCAUUUUGUUUUCUAUUUGAUGGGUAAAAAGUAACACUUUGGCCUUUACCAAAAUAGCUCAGUUUGGAAACUGUUAGGCUGAAAGUAAUUAUUUGCUCUUAUUGAAUUUGGAUUUCUUGACUAUAUGGAAAUGUUGCUUUGUGUGGUUUCUGACCAUUUGCAUUUAUAAUUGUUUUUUAAAAACUUUGCUUAUUUUUUAAUGCUUUGAUUUGUAAGUUUUCAUAUAUGAGGAGCAGACUCCUCUUUGAAAU